UACGUAGGGGGCGAGCGUUGUCCGGAUUUAUUGGGCGUAAAGAGCUCGUAGGCGGCUUGGCAAGUCGGGUGUGAAACCUCCAGGCUCAACCUGGAGACGCCACUCGAUACUGCUAUGGCUAGAGUCCGGUAGGGGACCACGGAAGUUCUGGUGAGCGGUGAAAUGCGCAGAUAUCAGGAGGAACACCAGUGGCGAAGGCGGCGACCUGGACGGACAUUGACGCUGAGACGCGAAAGCGUGGGGAGCAAACAGG
rnacentral:rRNA from 1 species